AUUGAACGCUGGCGGCAGGCCUAAUACAUGCAAGUCGAACGAGUGGCGGACGGGUGAGUAAUGUCUGGGAAACUGCCUGACGGAGGGGGAUAACUACUGGAAACGGUAGCUAAUACCGCAUACCAUCGGAUGUGCCCAGAUGGGAUUAGCUAGUGGGUGGGGUAAAGGCUCACCUAGGCGACGAUCCCUAGCUGGGCUGAGAGGAUGACCAGCCACACUGGAACUGAGACACGGUCCAGACUCCUACGGGAGGCAGCAGUGGGGAAUAUUGCACAAUGGGCGCAAGCCUGAUGCAGCAAUGCCGCGUGUAUGAAGAAGGCCUUCGGGUUGUAAAGUACUUUCAGCGGGGAGGCGUUACCCGAAGAGGAAGCAACGGCUAACUCCGUGCCAGCAGCCGCGGUAAUAC
rnacentral:rRNA from 1 species